GGGCCGGUAGCUCAGCUUGGCUGGAGCGUUCGACUGAUAAUCGAAAGGUCGAGAGUUCGAAUCUCUCUCGGCCCACCA
rnacentral:tRNA from 3 species